GCACCUACGGGACGCAGCAGUAGGGAAUCUUCCACAAUGGACGAAAGUCUGAUGGAGCAACGCCGCGUGAGUGAAGAAGGGUUGCGGCUCGUAAAGCUCUGUUGGUAGUGAAGAAAGAUAGAGGUAGUAACUGGCCUUUAUUCGACGGUAAUUACUUAGAAAGUCACGGCUAACUACGUGCCAGCCGCCGCGGUAAUACGUAGGUGGCAAACGUUGUCCGGAUUUAUUGGGCGUAAAGCGCGUGCAGG
rnacentral:rRNA from 1 species